rnacentral:rRNA from 1 species
GACCGAGGCCUCGAGCGUUAGGCGGAAUCACUUGGCUUAAAGCGUGUGUAGGCGGGCCCGUAAGUGUCUUGUGAAAUCCCACGGCUCAACCGUGGAACUGCUGGGCAUACUGCGGGUCUUGGGCCAACUAGGGGCAGCCGGAACAAGCGGUGGAGCGGUGAAAUGCGUAGAUAUCGGAAGGAACACCGGUGGCGAAAGCGGCGCGCUGGAUCUCUUCUGACGCUGAGGCGCGAAAGCCAGGGGAGCGAACGGG